rnacentral:rRNA from 1 species
UACGUAGGGGGUUAGCGUUGUCCGGAAUCAUUGGGCGUAAAGCGCGUGUAGGCGGUCCGGUAAGUCCGCUGUGAAAGUCGGGGGCUCAACCCUCGGAUGCCGGUGGAUACUGUCGGGCUUGAGUACGGAAGAGGCGAGUGGAAUUCCUGGUGUAGCGGUGAAAUGCGCAGAUAUCAGGAGGAACACCAAUUGCGAAGGCAGCUCGCUGGGACGUUACUGACGCUGAGACGCGAAAGCGUGGGGAGCAAACAGG